CGUCACACUAUCAUUAACUGAAUCCAUAGGUUAAUGAGGCGAACCGGGGGAACUGAAACAUCUAAGUACCCCGAGGAAAAGAAAUCAACCGAGAUUCCCCCAGUAGCGGCGAGCGAACGGGGAGGAGCCCAGAGCCUGAAUCAGCAUGUGUGUUAGUGGAAGCGUCUGGAAAGGCGCGCGAUACAGGGUGACAGCCCCGUACACAAAAGCGCAUGUGCUGUGAGCUCGAUGAGUAGGGCGGGACACGUGGUAUCCUGUCUGAAUAUGGGGGGACCAUCCUCCAAGGCUAAAUACUCCUGACUGACCGAUAGUGAACCAGUACCGUGAGGGAAAGGCGAAAAGAACCCCGGCGAGGGGAGUGAAAAAGAACCUGAAACCGUGUACGUACAAGCAGUGGGAGCA
rnacentral:rRNA from 1 species